ACGUUUUUCAAUUUCACGACCGUUUACCACGUAUCGUUAGCGGUAAGGCAGCAACAAGCAACUCACGCUUAACUCCUUUGCAAUUUGUAGAGAAGAAAAUGCUCGAUAAGAUUCGUCAAACACGUUAUGUACGAAGAGCGUUGCUCGUCGUGCAAAAUAUAUCGUUCGCAGACGAAAAACGUACGUAGACAAUUUUUUGGAAAACAAACUUGCUAGUGAAAACGUAGUUAAUAUUUUUCGACGUGCAAUAUUUAAUCAAUGGGUCGCUUAUUCGUCGUCUUUAAUCUCUGCUCGUUUCUCAUUGCCAGUAGGCCGAGUAUCUCAAAAAUGACGUUUACGUCAUUCUUCUUGACAUGUUCUCUCGUUUCUUUUCUCAGCUUACGCUUCCUUCGUCAUGAGUCGAUAUUAAACUUAUAAAUCUUAAGAAUAGAUGGAUCAGAGAAUGGAAAGGUGAAAGAGCAGCGAAAAACGAACGAUAAUUCGUUCUUGAAACAACUUCUCCAACCUAAAUUCGUUCGAUUUCGUGUCUCCCUGUAUCCUGCGUCUUGCAUUGCGUAAUAAAUUUCCGGAGAACGAAAUAGCGAGCGAUACUUGGUACGGUCGAGUACCAAAGCAUCGCCUCCUUCUAAGAUUAGCAUCGUACGAAAGAAAGAUGUACGGAACUGCGAGUAGACGGUGUUACCGUGUCUCGAGUCUCACCUCGAUAACGAAACGAGUCUAAGUACAAUGGCAAACAUUCUGAUACGACCCCGUUUUCCAAAAUUCUCUCUCUUUCCCACCGCCGAUCGAUGUCUCUUG